UACGGAGGGUGCAAGCGUUAUCCGGAUUUACUGGGUUUAAAGGGUGUGUAGGCGGGCUAUUAAGUCAGUGGUGAAAUCUCCGAGCUUAACUCGGAAACUGCCAUUGAUACUAUUAGUCUUGAAUAUUGUUGAGGUUGGCGGAAUAUGUCAUGUAGCGGUGAAAUGCUUAGAUAUGACAUAGAACACCGAUUGCGAAGGCAGCUAGCUAAACAAUUAUUGACGCUGAGGCACGAAAGCGUGGGGAUCAAAC
rnacentral:rRNA from 1 species